rnacentral:rRNA from 1 species
CAGCAGCCGCGGGAAUACGUAGGGUGCAAGCGUUAAUCGGAAUUACUGGGCGUAAAGCGUGCGCAGGCGGUUUUGUAAGACAGAGGUGAAAUCCCCGGGCUCAACCUGGGAACUGCCUUUGUGACUGCAAGGCUAGAGUACGGCAGAGGGGGAUGGAAUUCCGCGUGUAGCAGUGAAAUGCGUAGAUAUGCGGAGGAACACCGAUGGCGAAGGCAAUCCCCUGGGCCUGUACUGACGCUCAUGCACGAAAGCGUGGGGAGCAAACAGGAUUAGAUACCCCUGUAGUCCCUGUCUCUUAUAA